AUAAAUUCUGUGAAGGAAAAAAGUAGCAUGCUAAAUGGCGAAAGCGAGCCGGGAUAGGUGGAAGCCGGCGGUCAGGAAGUAUGUGAAGUGCAUUCCGGAGAAGGCUUUUUGAAAGAGAAUCAUGUAGGAAAGCCCGGCGAGGCCGUUAAACCGCAAAGAGAAGGUGCAGUGUGCAUUUGUGCAUAUGUGAUCUGCGCCUGAAAAAGAGUGGAACCGCGAGACCCCCUUGCCUCUUUA
rnacentral:ncRNA from 1 species